GGGUUGUGAGGUUAAGCGACUAAGCGUACACGGUGGAUGCCCUGGCAGUCAGAGGCGAUGAAGGACGUGCUAAUCUGCGAUAAGCGUCGGUAAGGUGAUAUGAACCGUUAUAACCGGCGAUUUCCGAAUGGGGAAACCCAGUGUGUUUCGACACACUAUCAUUAACUGAAUCCAUAGGUUAAUGAGGCGAACCGGGGGAACUGAAACAUCUAAGUACCCCGAGGAAAAGAAAUCAACCGAGAUUCCCCCAGUAGCGGCGAGCGAACGGGGAGCAGCCCAGAGCCUGAAUCAGUGUGUGUGUUAGUGGAAGCGUCUGGAAAGGCGCGCGAUACAGGGUGACAGCCCCGUACACAAAAAUACACAUACUGUGAGCUCGAUGAGUAGGGCGGGACACGUGGUAUCCUGUCUGAAUAUGGGGGGACCAUCCUCCAAGGCUAAAUACUCCUGACUGACCGAUAGUGAACCAGUACCGUGAGGGAAAGGCGAAAAGAACCCCGGCGAGGGGAGUGAAAAAGAACCUGAAACCGUGUACGUACAAGCAGUGGGAGCACGCUUAGGCGUGUGACUGCGUACCUUUUGUAUAAUGGGUCAGCGACUUAUAUUCUGUAGCAAGGUUAACCGAAUAGGGGAGCCGAAGGGAAACCGAGUCUUAACUGGGCGUUAAGUUGCAGGGUAUAGACCCGAAACCCGGUGAUCUAGCCAUGGGCAGGUUGAAGGUUGGGUAACACUAACUGGAGGACCGAACCGACUAAUGUUGAAAAAUUAGCGGAUGACUUGUGGCUGGGGGUGAAAGGCCAAUCAAACCGGGAGAUAGCUGGUUCUCCCCGAAAGCUAUUUAGGUAGCGCCUCGUGAAUUCAUCUCCGGGGGUAGAGCACUGUUUCGGCAAGGGGGUCAUCCCGACUUACCAACCCGAUGCAAACUGCGAAUACCGGAGAAUGUUAUCACGGGAGACACACGGCGGGUGCUAACGUCCGUCGUGAAGAGGGAAACAACCCAGACCGCCAGCUAAGGUCCCAAAGUCAUGGUUAAGUGGGAAACGAUGUGGGAAGGCCCAGACAGCCAGGAUGUUGGCUUAGAAGCAGCCAUCAUUUAAAGAAAGCGUAAUAGCUCACUGGUCGAGUCGGCCUGCGCGGAAGAUGUAACGGGGCUAAACCAUGCACCGAAGCUGCGGCAGCGAC
rnacentral:rRNA from 1 species